rnacentral:rRNA from 1 species
CCUACGGGAGGCAGCAGUGAGGAAUAUUGGUCAAUGGGCGAAAGCCUGAACCAGCCACGCAGCGUGCAGGAUGACGGCCCUAGGGGUUGUAAGCUUCUUUUAUACGGGAGUAAAGCGCGUUACGUGUGUCUUUUUGCAUGUCUCUUAUGAAUACGGAUCGGCUAACUACGUGCCAGCAGCCGCGGUAAUACGGAGGGGCCGGGCGUUAUCCGGAUUUAGUGGGUUUAAAGGGAGCGUAGGCGGUAGGAGAAGUGAGUGGUGAAAUGUCGGGGCUCAACCGUGGAAUUGCAGUGGAUACUGGGGGGCUUGAGAGCAGGGGAGGUAGGCGGAAUUCGUGGUGUAGCGGUGAAAUGCGUAGAUAUUACGAAGAACCCCGAUGGCGAAGGCAGCUUACUAGACUGUAACUGACGUUGAUGCUCGAAAGCGUGGGUAGCAAACAGGAUUAGAUACCCCGGUAGUC